AUUGAACGCUGGCGGCAGGCCUAACACAUGCAAGUCGAACGAGUGGCGGACGGGGGAGUAAUGUCUGGGAAACUGCCCGAUGGAGGGGGAUAACUACUGGAAACGGUAGCUAAUACCGCAUACCAUCGGAUGUGCCCAGAUGGGAUUAGAUAGUAGGUGGGGUAACGGCUCACCUAGGCGACGAUCCCUAGAUGGUCUGAGAGGAUGACCCGCCACACUGGAACUGAGACACGGUCAAGACUCCUACGGUAGGCAGCAGUGGGGACUAUUGCACAAUGGGCGCAAGCCUGAUGCAGUCAUGCCGCGUGUAUGAAGAAGGCCGUCGGGUUGUAAAGUACUUUCAGCGAGGAGGCGUUACUCGCAGAAGAAGCACCGGCUAACUCCGUGCCAGCAGCCGCGGUAAUAC
rnacentral:rRNA from 1 species